GUAAGCGCAUCGGAAACUACAAUGAAAACAUGGAAACAAGCGGUUUUAGAUUGCUAUGGGAAUAACUCGUUUUUGGAAAGCAACACGACUGUUCUUAAACAGUACAUGGUCAAUCAUACUAAAGUAAAUGAUAGUAUUUGGGUUGGAAGCUUUCAAGCUUUACUUCCUUGGAUUGAAAUAAGAGGUAGGUAAUUCAUACACUAUUCUAAAGUGUCGGUUGAUUUAUUUUACUAAGGGAAAACUUUUUUUUUAUAUUUUUUUCCAUUCUGGUAACAUAGGUGUUUCAGACUCGAGCAAGAAAUGGAAAGGAAAUUGGGCUUGACUUUGGUAUUUGAAUAGCGAAUGAUAAUGCUUUACAUAUAUUUACAGUAGAAUAUAUACAUAUAUACGUAAAAUUGACAAAAAAAUCCGAUUGAUUGGUUGUUCUCUUGUGCAAUUAUUUUCUAAAUUUUCGCAUACAAGAAUGUGUUCCAUAAAAUCCAUAUUUAUUAGUAUUAUUGAUAUUGUUACAUUAAGGGAUACACUAUUCAAUUUUAUCACACCAUCUAGCUACAAGACAUUGUCAUUUGAAAAAAUGAAUAUAAGUUUGAAGCCAUAUACAACAUGCAAGCAAACCUCGGAUUCGUAGUCCUGUUUUGAUUAUGAUGUUGUGUCCCUGCUAGUUGUGUUGUUUAUUCAGCAAUUGUAUUUGUUCUUGAACGUUCAAAUAUGUUUGUCCAAAAACAUUACUGAAGAGGCAGUUCUUGUCGGAACGUGCAUCUGGUGUUGUAAUAUGUUUUGUAUUUGUACUAAACUUUUCAUUUUUUUUUAAAUUUUAUUUCAUAAUUAGUAUUUACGCAUUAAUAAAAGAAUGCAAAUAUGUUUCAAUCAUUCAUGUCUGUGAUUUUUUUUAAAUUUUAAAAUGUAAUCAUUUGUACAAACAUCAUAUCCAUAUCCACAGGCAUAUGUCUGCUUUAGCUUUCAUUUUAUUUCUUUUAAUAAAAGGGUGUUACAAUAUACCACUUACAUGCAACAGCUUAGAGAGAGAUCACACAAAUGCUGCAAAUUUACAACUGUGUCAACUCAAAUGCAUGAAAAGACGA
rnacentral:lncRNA from 1 species